rnacentral:tRNA from 1 species
GCAUUGGUGGUUCAGUAGUAAAACUCCUACCUUCCAUGUGGAAGACCCGGGUUCAAUUCCUGGUCAGUGCA